GACGAACGCUGGCGGCGUGCCUAAUACAUGCAAGUCGAGCGCAGGAAGCUGACGGAACUCUUCGGAGGGAAGGCAGUGGAAUGAGCGGCGGACGGGUGAGUAACACGUAAGGAACCUGCCUCAAGGAUUGGGAUAACUCCGAGAAAUCGGAGCUAAUACCGGAUAGUUCAACGGACCGCAUGGUCCGCUGAUGAAAGGCGCUUCGGCGUCACCUUGAGAUGGCCUUGCGGUGCAUUAGCUAGUUGGUGAGGUAACGGCCCACCAAGGCGACGAUGCAUAGCAGACCUGAGAGGGUGAUCGGCCACACUGGGACUGAGACACGGCCCAGACUCCUACGGGAGGCAGCAGUAGGGAAUCUUCCACAAUGGACGAAAGUCUGAUGGAGCAACGCCGCGUGAGUGAUGAAGGUUUUCGGAUCGUAAAACUCUGUUGUAAGGGAAGAACACGUACGAGAGGAAAUGCUCGUACCUUGACGGUACCUUACGAGAAAGCCACGGCUAACUACGUGCCAGCCGCCGCCGUAACAC
rnacentral:rRNA from 1 species